rnacentral:rRNA from 1 species
AACGAACGUUAGCGGCGCGCUUAACACAUGCAAGUCGUGCGAGAAAGGGAGCAAUCCCCGGUAAAGCGGCGCACGGGUGAGUAACACGUAGGUAACGUGCCCCUAGGUGGUGGAUAACCUUCCGAAAGGAGGGCUAAUACAGCAUAAGACCACGGCUUCGAAAGGAGCUGAGGUCAAAGUCGGCCUCUAUUCAUAAGCUGACGCCAAGGGAUCGGCCUGCGGCCCAUCAGGUAGUUGGUAGGGUAAUGGCCUACCAAGCCUAAGACGGGUAGCUGGUCUGAGAGGAUGAUCAGCCACACUGGAACUGAGACACGGUCCAGACUCCUACGGGAGGCAGCAGUGGGGAAUCUUGCGCAAUGGGCGAAAGCCUGACGCAGCGACGCCGCGUGAGUGAUGAA